rnacentral:rRNA from 1 species
UGGGGGAUAUUGCACAAUGGGCGAAAGCCUGAUGCAGCGACGCCGCGUGGGGGAUGAAGGCCUUCGGGUUGUAAACUUCUUUUGCCCUGAACAAGGCAUGCUAAUGGGUGUGUUGAGUGUAGGGGUUGAUUAGCGCCGGCUAACUACGUGCCAGCAGCCGGGGUAAUACGUAGGGCGCGAGCGUUGUCCGGAAUUAUUGGGCGUAAAGGGCUUGUAGGUGGCUGGUUGCGUCUGUCGUGAAAGCUCAUGGCUUAACUGUGGGUUUGCGGUGGGUACGGGUUGGCUUGAGUGCAGUAGGGGAGGCUGGAAUUCCUGGUGUAGCGGUGGAAUGCGCAGAUAUCAGGAGGAAUACCGGUGGCGAAGGCGGGUCUCUGGGCUGUUACUGACACUGAGGAGCGAAAGCAUGGGGAGCGAACAGG